rnacentral:rRNA from 1 species
AUUGAACGCUGGCGGCAGGCCUAACACAUGCAAGUCGAACGCGUGGCGGACGGGUGAGUAAUGUCUGGGAAACUGCCCGCUGGAGGGGGAUAACUACUGGAAACGGUAGCUAAUACCCCAUACCCCCUCAUGUGCCCAGAUGGGAUUAGCUUGUAGGUGAGGUAACGGCUCACCUCGGCGACGAUCCCUCGCUGGUCUGCGAGGAUGACCAGCCACACUGGAACUGAGACACGGUCCAGACUCCUACGGGAGGCAGCAGUGGGGAAUAUUGCACAAUGGGCGCAAGCCUGAUGCAGCCAUGCCGCGUGUAUGAAGAAGGCCUUCGGGUUGUAAAGUACUUUCAGCGGGGAGGCGUUACCCGCAGAAGAAGCACCGGCUAACUCCGUGCCAGCCGCCGCGGUAAUUC